GAGCGCUCAGCAUUUUGAAAAAACAGGAUUCUUACCGUAGGGCCUACAUGCAGUGGUCUGUAAGAAUUGAAGUUGAGCUGGGAGUAUUACCAUACUCUGCACUCUCGACCUCAGCAGCCUCUGGAAGGAAAGCCGGUGUUAAUUCUGGUCUUCCUGGCUACAGGCUAGUUUGAUGGAUAACAGCAUUCAUGUCUGACUGGUUCG
rnacentral:lncRNA from 1 species